rnacentral:rRNA from 1 species
AGAGUUUGAUCAUGGCUCAGGAUGAACGCUGGCGGCGUGCUUAACACAUGCAAGUCGAGCGAAGCACUUACUUUGGAUUUCUUCGGAAUGACGAGGUAUUUGACUGAGCGGCGGACGGGUGAGUAACGCGUGGGCAACCUGCCUCACACAGGGGGAUAACAGUUAGAAAUGACUGCUAAUACCGCAUAACAUCUUAGUAUCGCAUGGUACUGAGAUCAAAGGAGCAAUCCGCUGAGAGAUGGACUCGCGUCCGAUUAGCUAGUUGGCGGGAUAAAGGCCCACCAAGGCGACGAUCGGUAGCCGG